UUGUGGGGAUAACCGAGGGAAACUUCGGCUAAUACCGCAUAAGCUUCCGGGCUUGUUCCGGGGGGAAAGAUUUAUCGCGACAGGAGGGGCCCGCGUCCGAUUAGCUGGUUGGUGGGGUAACGGCCUACCAAGGCUGCGAUCGGUAGCUGGUCUGAGAGGAUGAUCAGCCACACUGGGACUGAGACACGGCCCAGACUCCUAUGGGAGGCAGCAGUGGGGAAUAUUGGACAAUGGGCGCAAGCCUGAUCCAGCAAUGCCGCGUGAGUGAUGAAGGCCUUCGGGUUGUAAAGCUCUUUCGCCCGCGACGAUGAUGACGGUAGCGGGAGAAGAAGCUCCGGCUAACUUCGUGCCAGCAGCCGCGGUAAUACGAAGGGGGCGAGCGUUGUUCGGAAUCACUGGGCGUAAAGGGCGCGUAGGCGGCCCUCCUUGUCGCGUGUGAAAGCCCCGGGCUCAACCUGGGAACGGCGCGCGAGACGGGGGGGCUGGAGUUCGGGAGAGGAGCGUGGAAUUCCCAGUGUAGAGGUGAAAUUCGUAGAUAUUGGGAAGAACACCGGUGGCGAAGGCGGCGCUCUGGACCGAGACUGACGGUGA
rnacentral:rRNA from 1 species